rnacentral:lncRNA from 1 species
UGUAUCGUGUAUCCUCAACACCUGGGAUUCCUGGCUUUAUUUUAAAUAGCCAUCUGCAUCCAACAAGCUUUGCCUUCGCAUGCCUAUCAAUGAGAUCCCAGGUUCUGUUCUUUCUGUGAGACUCCAUUUUUUCUUCUGCAGCAUGCUUCCAUAGCUUCUUUUCAUGACUUCUCAUAGCUUCUGCAUAGGAUUUUGAUUCCUGAACUUCCAAAUCCUCAACAUAGGUGUCUAGAGUUUCAGUGUCACCACUC